GACGAGGGAUCCUAGCGUUGUUCGGAAUUAUUGGGCGUAAAGCGUGUGCAGGUGGCUUUGUAAGUCAGGUGUGAAAUCCCAGGGCUCAACCCUGGAAGUGCAUUUGAUACUGCGAAGCUUGAGUGUGGGAGAGGUGAGUAGAAUUCCAGGUGUAGUGGUGAAAUACGUAGAUAUCUGGAGGAAUACCGGAGGCGAAGGCGGCUCACUGGCCCAACACUGACACUCAGACCCGAAAGCGUGGGGAUCAAACAGG
rnacentral:rRNA from 1 species